UACGUAGGGUGCAAGCGUUAAUCGGAAUUACUGGGCGUAAAGCGUGCGCAGGCGGUUGUGCAAGACAGAUGUGAAAUCCCCCGGGCUCAACCUGGGAAUUGCAUUUGUGACUGCACGGCUAGAGUGUGUCAGAGGGGGGGUAGAAUUCCACGUGUAGCAGUGAAAAUGCGUAGAGAUGUGGAGGAACACCGAUGGCGAAGGCAGCCUUCUGGGCCAACACUGACGCUCAUGCACGAAAGCGUGGGGAGCAAACAGG
rnacentral:rRNA from 1 species